UGGGGAAUAUUGCACAAUGGGCGCAAGCCUGAUGCAGCCAUGCCGCGUGUGUGAAGAAGGCCUUCGGGUUGUAAAGCACUUUCAGCGAGGAGGAAGGUGGUGAGCUUAAUACGCUCAUCAAUUGACGUUACUCGCAGAAGAAGCACCGGCUAACUCCGUGCCAGCAGCCGCGGUAAUACGGAGGGUGCAAGCGUUAAUCGGAAUUACUGGGCGUAAAGCGCACGCAGGCGGUUUGUUAAGUCAGAUGUGAAAUCCCCGGGCUCAACCUGGGAACUGCAUUUGAAACUGGCAAGCUAGAGUCUCGUAGAGGGGGUAGAAUUCCAGGUGUAGCGGUGAAAUGCGUAGAGAUCUGGAGGAAUACCGGUGGCGAAGGCGGCCCCCUGGACGAAGACUGACGCUCAGGUGCGAAAGCGUGGGGAGCAAACAGAUUAGAUACCCUGGUAGUCCACGCUGUAAACGAUGUCGAUUUUGGAGGUUGUGCCCUUGAGGCGUGGCUUCCGGAGCUAACGCGUUAAAUCGACCGCC
rnacentral:rRNA from 1 species